GUUUGCUUAAAAUAACUAACCAGCCAAUUUAAAAAUGUAAUUCAAGAUAAAGAUUGUAUUUGGUUUAAAAUAAUCUUCUGUGCCCGCAAGCAGGUAAGAAGCACUUUUUAAUAUGGAACUACAAUAAGUAGGAAUAUGAGAUUUUCAAACUGCACAGAGAGCAAAACAAGGAUGUCUGCAAUGACCACUGCCAUCCACGUCCACACUGCUCUGCUCAGAAGGACGCUAAACAUAUUCCAACGGGAGAGGCAAGCUUCACCAAGUCUCAGGGGGGUCACUGUAUGUGUCAAGGCUGGGCAAGGCCUCAAACUGAAGAUUUUAGGGAGGAAUUUGAAAGCAUUUCUGUCCCAUUGAAAUAGAAUAAUGUAAUGAGGUUGCUUGCUGGCCUUCUCUUCCUGUCAGAAGGAGAUUAAUACAGAAGCUGCCUCCUCCAGUCUUGCUAAUAAAUAUUCACUGAGCCAUUCUCAGAGAGAUUUGAUCCUGAUUCUGGAGACAUGCAUGCAGCCUGGCUGUGAACCCUGGGGAUUCAGAUCAGCAGAAGUGCUUUUGCCUGUCUCCACAAAUCUGAGAAGCACAUGACAGGAGAAUUAAUCUUAAAAAGG